ACAACAGGUUGAUAUUCCUGUACUACCGAUAACCGUUUGAGAGAAGGGAUGACACAGUAGGAUAAGCUAAGCACACUGUUGGGUAUGUGUGCCCAAGCAUUGAGGCAGUCAAAGUAGGCAAAUCCGCUUUGAUAAUGCUGGGAUGUGAUGGGGAGCGAAAUUUAGUAGCGAAGUAGCUGAUUUCACACUGUCAAGAAAAGUCUCUAUCGA
rnacentral:rRNA from 1 species